rnacentral:lncRNA from 1 species
AAGAAUGCUGCAGAAGAGAGCAGCUGGGUGCCUCAGCAAGAGAAGACUGAGCACACCAUGGUGGAUUUUCCUUAGGAGCAUCUAUGGACCUUACAGUGGGAGCUGAAUGAGAGGGGUGUGUGUCAGAGCAAUUAUUGUCUGGCUCAUGUACUUACUGCCUGUGACUACAACCCUGAAGGGUAUGUGUAUUAAUCCCACUUUUGCUGAUGAAGAAACUGAGGUUCAAAGAAAUGAAUGAACUACUCAGUCACAAAACUGUAAGUGACCAAGUUGGAGUUGAAAUACUGGUCUGUUUGGCUCCAGUUUAAUCUCUUGCUACAAUACCACAAUACUGUUUCUCUGGUUCUGACUUUAUUAUUUGCCCCCAAAUGCAUCAACAGGAGUAGGGAAUAAUCAUGGGAUUUCUCUUAGGUUCUGUAGUUACACUGCAGGAAGAAAACACAUUUAGUAUAAUCAUCUCAAGACGCCAAGAGCAAGAAUUACUGCCUCCAGAUAAAUUCCUAAACGUAGAAUUACUCAGUGAACUUGUCUGCACAUUUUCUUAAACUUUUAGUGUUUAUCAGCAAAUUGCCCUUUAAAUAAGCUGUACUUACUAAGUAACUUAAUUCCCAGCAGAUUAUGAGUUACCUCUUUCCUGUACUACUACUACUAAUGAUAAUAAUACUUCUAUAGUGGAUACUAUGAGCAGGAAACUUGUAGGUGCUUAAAAUACGUUAAUUUAUUUGAUUAUCAAAAUAGUCCAUCAUUUUAUAAAUGAAGAAUACUGAAGUACAGAAAAGUUAAGUUAUUUGCCAAAGUCAUGCAGUUUACAAUCAGAGGUAAUAGAACCAGGAUUUGAACUUAGGCAGUCUUUAUUGACUAUGUCUAGAUUGGAUAUUAUAUUGGUCUUUUAAAUUUUAUAGACAAAAAGUAUUUCACAGUUACUUUAAUUUGUAUUUUUUUAUUUAAAGGAGAUAACAUAUUUUUUCUUCCUUUUCUCCCUUUCUUCCUUCUUUCCUUUUUCUUUUCAUUCUGACUUUUUUUUUCUUUUGUAAGAUACUGGUUAACAUCCUUUGCCUAUUUUUCCCUUGGAG